UAGCAGUGAGGAAUAUUGGUCAAUAGCCUAACUGGCUGAACCAGCAACUUGGAGGAAUGUAUAGGGAAAACUGGUAAAAUGUGAUGUACCUAAUAGUAUUAGUGAUUAAUAUGAAAUUAACUAAGUUAAUUAAAAUUCGAAGUAGAUAUGUGAUUAUGACAAUAUUUGCUUAUUUCUUGACCAAGUCACGUGCCAGCAGUCGCGGUAAUACGUGGUAGAUCAGUGUUAUUCAUCUUUAAUAGGUUUAAAGGGUACCUAGACGGUUAAUUAAGCACAUUUGUGUACUAAUUAUUAACUAGAGUUUAAUGUAAGAAGGAUUGAGUACGGUGAGUGUAGAGAUAAAAUUCUGUCAUACCACUUAGGAACUGGUAAAGGCGAAGGCAACCUUUUAUGUAAAAACUGACGUUGAAGGACGAAGG
rnacentral:rRNA from 1 species